rnacentral:rRNA from 1 species
ACGCACGCUGGCGGCGUGCUUAACACAUGCAAGUCGAACGGAAAGGCCCUGCUUUUGUGGGGUGCUCGAGUGGCGAACGGGUGAGUAACACGUGAGUAACCUGCCCUUGACUUUGGGAUAACUUGAGGAAACUGGGGCUAAUACCGGAUAGGAGCUCCUGCUGCAUGGUGGGGGUUGGAAAGUUUCGGCGGUUGGGGAUGGACUCGCGGCUUAUCAGCUUGUUGGUGGGGUAGUGGCUUACCAAGGCUUUGACGGGUAGCCGGCCUGAGAGGGUGACCGGCCACAUUGGGACUGAGAUACGGCCCAGACUCCUACGGGAGGCAGCAGUGGGGAAUAUUGCACAAUGGGCGGAAGCCUGAUGCAGCAACGCCGCGUGCGGGAUGACGGCCUUCGGGUUGUAAACCGCUUUCGCCUGUGACGAAGCGUGAGUGACGGUAAUGGGUAAAGAAGCACCGGCUAACUACGUG